rnacentral:rRNA from 1 species
GGUUAAGUGACUAAGCGUACACGGUGGAUGCCUGGGCAGUCAGAGGCGAAGAAGGACGUAGUAACUUGCGAUAAGCCCAGAUAAGGCAGUAACAGCCACUUGAGUCUGGGAUUUCCGAAUGGGGAAACCCACUGGCAUAAGCCAGUAUCAUUAACUGAAUCCAUAGGUUAAUGAGGCGAACUCGGGGAACUGAAACAUCUAAGUACCCGAAGGAAAAGAAAUCAAUUGAGAUUCCGGCAGUAGCGGCGAGCGACCCCGGACCAGCCCUUAAGCUGAUUGUGAGUUAGUGGAAGCCACUGGAAAGUGGCGCGAUACAGGGUGAUAGCCCCGUACACGACAACGCACAGUGAGUGAAAACGAGUAAGACGGGACACGUGUUAUCUUGUCUGAAGAUGGGGGGACCAUCCUCCAAGGCUAAAUACUCCUGACUGACCGAUAGUGAACCAGUACCGUGAGGGAAAGGCGAAAAGAACCCCUGUGAGGGGAGUGAAAUAGAACCUGAAACCGUGUACGUACAAGCAGUGGGAGCCUCCUUGUGGGGUGACUGCGUACCUUUUGUAUAAUGGGUCAGCGACUUACGUUAUGUAGCAAGGUUAACCGUAUAGGGGAGCCGUAGGGAAACCGAGUCUUAACUGGGCGUUCAGUUGCAUGACGUAGACCCGAAACCGGGUGAUCUAGCCAUGGGCAGGUUGAAGAUUGAGUAACAUCAAUUGGAGGACCGAACCGACUAAUGUUGAAAAAUUAGCGGAUGACUUGUGGCUAGGGGUGAAAGGCCAAUCAAACCCGGAGAUAGCUGGUUCUCCCCGAAAGCUAUUUAGGUAGCGCCUCGGACGAAUACUACUGGGGGUAGAGCACUGUUAAGGCUAGGGGGUCAUCCCGACUUACCAACCCUUUGCAAACUCCGAAUACCAGUAAGUAGUAUCCGGGAGACACACGGCGGGUGCUAACGUCCGUCGUGGAGAGGGAAACAACCCAGACCGCCAGCUAAGGUCCCCAAGUUAUCGCUAAGUGGGAAACGAUGUGGGAAGGCUCAGACAGCCAGGAUGUUGGCUUAGAAGCAGCCAUCAUUUAAAGAAAGCGUAAUAGCUCACUGGUCGAGUCGGCCUGCGCGGAAGAUGUAACGGGGCUAAGCGAUACACCGAAGCUGCGGCAGUGUGAUUUAUCACAUUGGGUAGGGGAGCGUUCUGUAAGCCGUAGAAGGUGGUCUGUAAGGGCUGCUGGAGGUAUCAGAAGUGCGAAUGCUGACAUGAGUAACGAUAAAGGGGGUGAAAAACCUCCUCGCCGGAAGACCAAGGGUUCCUGUCCAACGUUAAUCGGGGCAGGGUAAGUCGGCCCCUAAGGCGAGGCCGAAAGGCGUAGUCGAUGGGAAACGGGUUAAUAUUCCCGUACUGCUGAUAACUGCGAUGGGGGGACGGAGAAGGCUAGGUGGGCCAGGCGACGGUUGUCCUGGUUCAAGUGCGUAGGUAGGUGAGUUAGGCAAAUCCGGCUCGCUAUAUACUGAGACACGAUGUCGAGACACCACGGUGUUGAAGUCAUUGAUGCCCUGCUUCCGGGAAAAGCCUCUAAGCUUCAGGUUAUCAGUAACCGUACCCCAAACCGACACAGGUGGUCGGGUAGAGAAUACCAAGGCGCUUGAGAGAACUCGGGUGAAGGAACUAGGCAAAAUGGUACCGUAACUUCGGGAGAAGGUACGCUGCCCGCGGUGAAGUCCCUGGCGGAUGGAGCUAUGGGCAGUCGCAGAUACCAGGUGGCUGCAACUGUUUAUUAAAAACAUAGCACUGUGCAAACUCGAAAGAGGACGUAUACGGUGUGACGCCUG